GAGCUGACCAGAAAACUGAAGUUAUCAGAGCAGCUGAAGGAACUCAGCAAGCUGUUACCUCCAGCCACUCCAAGUAUCCAAGUAUCUCACAGGAGGAAUGCAGAUGCUUAAUUCUUCACAGCUCUCAGAAGGAUGCUGAAUGAACAGCAUAAUCCUCAGCCAGGACCACAAGCCUGGACUUCAUGCCCUGCAACUCAGCACAUGUCAAACCCCACCAUGGACACCAGGCAGUGGUUCCCUCGUGGACAACACCGAGGACGCCAAGUGGCCACACAGAACAGAGGGAAGGGGGUCCCGUUCCCAGCCAGAGGAGGCUGCAGCACUCACCGGUCUGUCUGGAGAACGUGGAUGAGGUGUUCCAUGGCCUGUAUGCCGACCUCCAACCGGUAUUUCUGUUCGGAGAAAACCAGAUUUGUCAGCGGUCGGAGCCCGAACACCGAACAAAGCUUCUUUAGUAGUAC